UUUUGUAACUUCGAGCAACUUUUCAUGAAUUUGACUCAAAUUCAUGACUCAAAUUCAUGAAAGUUGCUCGAAGUAACAAAAA